UACAUCCAAUGUGUUUCUUUUUCUUCUCCUCCAGCAAAUGCCAAAAUCUGUCCAGCCCUUCAAAACGAAGCGAGAAGCUUCCUGUUGGACAUUAAACCACUCUAUUAUCGCGUCCUCAAGUCGUUUCAGGCACCUGAACCCGCCUACGAGUCCACAAUGGCUGUGAAGGAUUGCAUAGAUCGGAUGUCCUUUAGCGACAGACAUAAACUUUUCGAAGUCAUGGAGAAUAUGGUGGACAAGUGCAGCAAAUAGAUUCCACAAACUCCACCUACAAGGGCCCCUGCUUUCAACGAUGCCCUGAUCUUCCCUGGAAAAUGUAGAGGUUUCAACGUCUUGCUUCAAUAAAUCACUUGCCCUGCA